rnacentral:rRNA from 1 species
GCUAACGGCUGAACUGGCAACUUGGAGAAGUGGCAAGUCUUCCAGUAUGGGGAGCAAAACAGCUAUGGGUCAAGUCCGAUAUCUUUAGGAGGCGCGAAGCUCCUCUUAUUGUGAGGGCGAGUUUUAUAACACCAUAGGACUGGCCGCCCCAUAUGAAAAGAUUAUAUUAGAAUUGAAUGAAGCUUUGUUUAUAUAUUGAUAAUGACAGUAUAUAUAUCGUGUCUUGACUAAUUGCGUGCCAGCAGUCGCGGUAAUACGUAAGAGACUAGUGUUAUUCAUCUUAAUUAGGUUUAAAGGGUACCCAGACGGUCAAUAUAGCUUAUAAAAUGUUAGUACUUGACUAGAGUUUUAUGUAAGAGGGCAGUACUUGAGGAGGAGAGAUGAAAUUUCGUGAUACCAAAGGGACUCGGUAAAGGCGAAGGCAGCCCUCUAGGUAAAAACUGACGUUGAAGGACGAAGGCACAGAGAACAAACAGGAUUAGAUACCCAAGUAGUCUUUGCAGUAAAUGAUGAAUGCCAUAGGUUAGAUCUGAGUUGGUAGUCUAGUUGAGUUAGUUUACUAAACUAAUGAUCUAUACAAGCCAGCCUUAGAUUUGGUCUAUAAAUGAAAGUGUAAGCAUUUCACCUCAAGAGUAAUGUGGCAACGCAGGAACUGAAAUCACUAGACCGUUUCUGACACCAGUAGUGAAG